GGGGCUAUAGCUCAGCUGGCUAGAGCGCUACGCUGGCAGGGUAGAGGUUAUGGGUUCAAGUCCCAUUAGCUCCACCA
rnacentral:tRNA from 1 species